rnacentral:rRNA from 1 species
CCCUUAGAUGUUCUGGGCCGCACGCGCGCUACACUGGUGCGUUCAACAAGUUUACAACCUUGAUUGACAAGUCUGGGUAAUCUUUUGAAUGCGCACCGUGCUAGGGAUAGAUUAUUGCAAUUAUUAAUCUUGAACGAGGAAUUCCUAGUAAACGCAAGUCAUCAGCUUGCAUUGAUUACGUCCCUGCCCUUUGUACACACCGCCCGUCGCUACUACCGACUGGUAAGAUAUCUAAGGAGCAUGGACGUCGGCAGACGCGGUUCACGCCGUGUCUGCGGGCAGAAGCGCCCCGCAGAUUUCUUGCUGGAGGAAGUAAAAGUCGUAACA